rnacentral:rRNA from 1 species
AACGAACGCUGGCGGCGUGCCUAACACAUGCAAGUCGAGCGCGAAUGGAGCAAUCCUAGUAGAGCGGCGCACGGGUGCGUAACACGUGGGUAAUCUGCCUCAAAGCCCGGGAUAACCUGCCGAAAGGCAAGCUAAUACCGGAUAAGCCUACGGACUCUUCGGGGUCUGAAGGAAAAGGUGGCCUCUGUAUACAAGCUAUCACUUUGAGAUGAGCCCGCGGCCCAUCAGCUCGUUGGCGGGGUAACGGACCCACCAAGGCGAACGAACCGGGUAGGCUGGUCUGAGAGGACGAUCAGCCACACUGGAACUAGAGACACGGUCCGAGACUCCUACGGGAGGCAGCAGUGGGAAG